rnacentral:rRNA from 2 species
GGGUUGUGAGGUUAAGCGACUAAGCGUACACGGUGGAUGCCCUGGCAGUCAGAGGCGAUGAAGGACGUGCUAAUUUGCGAAAAGCGCCGGCGAGGUGAUAUGAACCUUUGACCCGGCGAUGUCCGAAUGGGGAAACCCAGUGUGUUCCGACACACUAUCGUUAACUGAAUACAUAGGUUAACGAGGCGAACCGGGGGAACUGAAACAUCUAAGUACCCCGAGGAAAAGAAAUCAACCGAGAUUCCCCCAGUAGCGGCGAGCGAACGGGGAGCAGCCCAGAGUCUGAAUCAGCUUGUGUGUUAGUGGAAGCGUCUGGAAAGUCGCACGGUACAGGGUGACAGUCCCGUACACGAAAGCACACAGGCUGUGAACUCGAAGAGUAGGGCGGGACACGUGGUAUCCUGUCUGAAUAUGGGGGGACCAUCCUCCAAGGCUAAAUACUCCUGACUGACCGAUAGUGAACCAGUACCGUGAGGGAAAGGCGAAAAGAACCCCGGCGAGGGGAGUGAAAAAGAACCUGAAACCGUGUACGUACAAGCAGUGGGAGCCUCUUUAUGGGGUGACUGCGUACCUUUUGUAUAAUGGGUCAGCGACUUAUAUUCUGUAGCAAGGUUAACCGUAUAGGGGAGCCGAAGGGAAACCGAGUCUUAACUGGGCGUUAAGUUGCAGGGUAUAGACCCGAAACCCGGUGAUCUAGCCAUGGGCAGGUUGAAGGUUGGGUAACACUAACUGGAGGACCGAACCGACUAAUGUUGAAAAAUUAGCGGAUGACUUGUGGCUGGGGGUGAAAGGCCAAUCAAACCGGGAGAUAGCUGGUUCUCCCCGAAAGCUAUUUAGGUAGCGCCUCGUGAACUCAUCUUCGGGGGUAGAGCACUGUUUCGGCUAGGGGGCCAUCCCGGCUUACCAACCCGAUGCAAACUACGAAUACCGAAGAAUGUUAUCACGGGAGACACACGGCGGGUGCUAACGUCCGUCGUGAAGAGGGAAACAACCCAGACCGCCAGCUAAGGUCCCAAAGUCAUGGUUAAGUGGGAAACGAUGUGGGAAGGCACAGACAGCCAGGAUGUUGGCUUAGAAGCAGCCAUCAUUUAAAGAAAGCGUAAUAGCUCACUGGUCGAGUCGGCCUGCGCGGAAGAUGUAACGGGGCUAAACCAUGCACCGAAGCUGCGGCAGCGACACUAUGUGUUGUUGGGUAGGGGAGCGUUCUGUAAGCCGUUGAAGGUGUCCUGUGAGGGGUGCUGGAGGUAUCAGAAGUGCGAAUGCUGACAUAAGUAACGAUAAAGCGGGUGAAAAGCCCGCUCGCCGGAAGACCAAGGGUUCCUGUCCAACGUUAAUCGGGGCAGGGUGAGUCGACCCCUAAGGCGAGGCCGAAAGGCGUAGUCGAUGGGAAACAGGUUAAUAUUCCUGUACUUGGUGUUACUGCGAAGGGGGGACGGAGAAGGCUAUGUUAGCCGGGCGACGGUUGUCCCGGUUUAAGCAUGUAGGCGGAGGUUCCAGGUAAAUCCGGUUCCUUGUUAACGCUGAGGUGUGAUGACGAGGCACUACGGUGCUGAAGUAACAAAUGCCCUGCUUCCAGGAAAAGCCUCUAAGCAUCAGGUAACAUCAAAUCGUACCCCAAACCGACACAGGUGGUCAGGUAGAGAAUACCAAGGCGCUUGAGAGAACUCGGGUGAAGGAACUAGGCAAAAUGGUGCCGUAACUUCGGGAGAAGGCACGCUGAUAUGUAGGUGAAGCCCCUGCGGGUGGAGCUGAAAUCAGUCGAAGAUACCAGCUGGCUGCAACUGUUUAUUAAAAACACAGCACUGUGCAAACACGAAAGUGGACGUAUACGGUGUGACGCCUGCCCGGUGCCGGAAGGUUAAUUGAUGGGGUUAGCGGUAACGCGAAGCUCUUGAUCGAAGCCCCGGUAAACGGCGGCCGUAACUAUAACGGUCCUAAGGUAGCGAAAUUCCUUGUCGGGUAAGUUCCGACCUGCACGAAUGGCGUAAUGAUGGCCAGGCUGUCUCCACCCGAGACUCAGUGAAAUUGAACUCGCUGUGAAGAUGCAGUGUACCCGCGGCAAGACGGAAAGACCCCGUGAACCUUUACUAUAGCUUGACACUGAACACUGGUCCUUGAUGUGUAGGAUAGGUGGGAGGCUUUGAAGCGUGGACGCCAGUCUGCGUGGAGCCAACCUUGAAAUACCACCCUUUAAUGGCUGGUGUUCUAACGUAGACCCGUGAUCCGGGUUGCGGACAGUGUCUGGUGGGUAGUUUGACUGGGGCGGUCUCCUCCCAAAGAGUAACGGAGGAGCACGAAGGUUAGCUAAUCCUGGUCGGACAUCAGGAGGUUAGUGCAAUGGCAUAAGCUAGCUUGACUGCGAGAGUGACGGCUCGAGCAGGUGCGAAAGCAGGUCAUAGUGAUCCGGUGGUUCUGAAUGGAAGGGCCAUCGCUCAACGGAUAAAAGGUACUCCGGGGAUAACAGGCUGAUACCGCCCAAGAGUUCAUAUCGACGGCGGUGUUUGGCACCUCGAUGUCGGCUCAUCACAUCCUGGGGCUGAAGUAGGUCCCAAGGGUAUGGCUGUUCGCCAUUUAAAGUGGUACGCGAGCUGGGUUUAGAACGUCGUGAGACAGUUCGGUCCCUAUCUGCCGUGGGCGCUGGAGAAUUGAGGGGGGCUGCUCCUAGUACGAGAGGACCGGAGUGGACGCAUCACUGGUGUUCGGGUUGUCAUGCCAAUGGCACUGCCCGGUAGCUAAAUGCGGAAGAGAUAAGUGCUGAAAGCAUCUAAGCACGAAACUUGCCCCGAGAUGAGUUCUCCCUGAGACUUUAAGUCUCCUGAAGGAACGUUGAAGACUACGACGUUGAUAGGUCGGGUGUGUAAGCGCAGCGAUGCGUUGAGCUAACCGAUACUAAUGAACCGUGAGGCUUAACCUUACAACGCCGAAG